rnacentral:lncRNA from 1 species
UGCACAUUAAAUACCUCACACAUAUACAAUUUCAUAUAAGGGCACCUUAAGUGCUUUCACAUAUACAUUCAUAAUUUUUACCUUUUCGUUUAGGUAAUAUAAACAUAUUCAUUUUCAUAUAAUGGUUUCCAUGAUUCCUAGGUAACAUUUCCUUUCAUUUAAGAACUUUUGCAUAACCACUUUCAAGAAAGGAGUCAUUAUGACCUCAAUUACCUAUUUUCCAUAUUUCAAGUUCAUUAGUCAAUCAUGAUAA